GUUGUUUCCAUCUCUGUAUGUGUGAGAACAGAAUAAAGGUAUAUUAUCUGGAAAAUGGGUAUAACAUCAAACAUCUCAGAUGACUUAUGAUGGUGACAUGAUGAUAGUUGAAAGAUGCUGAGGAGAAACAUUCAGGAUGCUCU
rnacentral:lncRNA from 1 species